rnacentral:rRNA from 1 species
GAGUUUGAUCGUGGCUCAGAUUGAACGCUGGCGGCAUGCCUUACACAUGCAAGUCGAACGGCAGCAUGAUCUAGCUUGCUAGAUUGAUGGCGAGUGGCGAACGGGUGAGUAAUACAUCGGAACGUGCCCUGUAGUGGGGGAUAACUAGUCGAAAGAUUAGCUAAUACCGCAUACGACCUGAGGGUGAAAGUGGGGGACCGCAAGGCCUCAUGCUAUAGGAGCGGCCGAUGUCUGAUCAGCUAGUUGGUGGGGUAAAGGCCCACCAAGGCGACGAUCAGUAGCUGGUCUGAGAGGACGAUCAGCCACACUGGGACUGAGACACGGCCCAGACUCCUACGGGAGGCAGCAGUGGGGAAUUUUGGACAAUGGGCGAAAGCCUGAUCCAGCAAUGCCGCGUGUGUGAAGAAGGCC